rnacentral:rRNA from 1 species
AUUGAACGCUGGCGGCAUGCCUUACACAUGCAAGUCGAACGGCAGCACAUUAAGCUUUGCUCUCUCGGUCGCGUGUGUAGUACGUGUGAAGAUUCCAUCUGAAUGUGCCUAGUCGUGGGGGAUAACGUCUGAAAACUUACGCUAAUACCGCAUACAACCUUCGGGUGACAGAGGCUGAUCGCAUGACCUCUCGCGAUUGCAUGAGCCGAUGUUGGAUUAGGUAGUUGGCGGGGUAAAGGCGCACCAAGGCGACGAUCCGUAGCUGGUCUGAGAGGAUGAUCAGCCACACUGGAACUGAGACACGGUCCAGACUCCUACGGGAGGCAGCAGUGGGGAAUAUUGGACAAUGGGCGCAAGCCUGAUCCAGCCAUACCGCGUGCGUGAAGAAGGCCUUCGGGUUGUAAAGCGCUUUUGUUAGGGAAGAAAACUUUCAGGCUAAUACCCGGGAAGCAUGACGGUACCUAAAGAAUAAGCACCGGCUAACUUCGUG